rnacentral:rRNA from 1 species
GAUGAACGCUGGCGGCGUGCCUAAUACAUGCAAGUCGAGCGAACGGACGAGAAGCUUGCUUCUCUGAUGUUAGCGGCGGACGGGUGAGUAACACGUGGAUAACCUACCUAUAAGACUGGGAUAACUUCGGGAAACCGGAGCUAAUACCGGAUAAUAUUUUGAACCGCAUGGUUCAAAAGUGAAAGACGGUCUUGCUGUCACUUAUAGAUGGAUCCGCGCUGCAUUAGCUAGUUGGUAAGGUAACGGCUUACCAAGGCAACGAUGCAUAGCCGACCUGAGAGGGUGAUCGGCCACACUGGAACUGAGACACGGUCCAGACUCCUACGGGAGGCAGCAGUAGGGAAUCUUCCGCCAUGGGCGAAAGCCUGACGGAGCAACGCCGCGUGAGUGAUGAAGGUCUUCGGAUCGUAAAACUCUGUUAUUAGGGAAGAACAUAUGUGUAAGUAACUGUGCACAUCUUGACGGUACCUAAUCAGAAAGCCACGGCUAACUACGU